rnacentral:lncRNA from 1 species
GUCGGGUACCAUUGCUAGAUGGUCACUUCGAUUAGUACAGGAAUUGGUUCCUGUGCUACCGACUUAGGUUCGAACCUGCGGGGUCACACACAUUAGAGGUUCCUUUCUGAUCUGAUGGCUGAUUAUGAGUCUUAUGUGUUUGGGACUCUAUGAUUGAGAAUUAGGAUUAUCUGAUCAUAAGUUCCACACAUUUUGGGUACCGGGGUCAAAAUUUUGAAUUUCAAAUUUUGAAUUUGAAAUUUGAACUCUU